AGCUCCAAUAGCGUAUAUUAAAGUUGUUGCAGUUAAAAAGCUCGUAGUUGGAUUUCUGGCUGAGUUGUGGCUGUCCGCGUUCAAAUGGAUGUGAGUAACGGCCACGACCGGUCACUCUUCUGGUGGUCCGUAUUGCUCUUGAUUGAGUGGUGCGGUGCGACCAGAUCGUUUACUUUGAGAAAAUUAGAGUGUUCAAGGCAGGCAUUAAUCGCCGUGAAUAUAUUAGCAUGGAAUAAUAAGAUAGGACUUUGGUCGUAUUUUGUUGGUUUCUACAGCCGAAGUAAUGAUUGAUAGAGACAGUUGGGGGUGCUAGUAUUCUGCGGCCAGAGGUGAAAUUCUGUGAUUCGCGGAGGACUGACUUAUGCGAAAGCAUUCACCAAGGAUGUCUUCUUUAAUCAAG
rnacentral:rRNA from 1 species